rnacentral:lncRNA from 1 species
GUUUGUUUGUUUGCUUGCUUGCUUGCUUCAGUUGUAUUGCAAAUUGAUACGUUGCUUUCAUUUGUCUCAUUCAUGUACCUAAAUAUAAAUUCUAGUAUGUUUAGAGGAAAUAAAUUAAAAAGCUAAAAUGUUUGCACAAGACCAUAUCUUAAAUAUAAAUACCAUCAUUUUAGCUUAUCAAAUCCUCUCACACAUAUUUUAGAUGCAAAAUUGUUUUACGUAACAGACGCCUUUCCGUGGCAAACAAGUAUCAUGGGUUUACUUCAUGUUGUCACACAACGUUACUAAAAUUUUAUUUUUUGGAAUUCAUUCAAAAAUCAGAAUGAAAAUGACUCACACGUAAAUACAUAUGUUAUCAUGCAAACUUUACAAUGCAAUUUCAUCGAUUAAUGCCUAGCAAUUUGACUAUUAAUGUAAAUGACUAUCUUUCAGACCUCUAAUUGACCUUCAAAAUAUAUAUCUGUCUCUCUCUCUCUCUCUCUCCACAUACAUAUAAAUAUAUAUAUAUAUAUAUAUAUAUAUUAUUUACUCAUUCAUUCAUUCUGCACAUCCAAUCAAUCCAUUAAUCCACCUAGAAAAAUCAAUCUGUGAGAAAGAUUUACUUCAAAACAAAUACCCGCUGCUGUGCAAAGUCAGCCUGUCCAAGCUACACAUCCUCACGGUCUCUGCCUCUGAGCAGCAACCACAGCAUCAAUCAUUUGAACAUGCACUUUGCAUUACUCACCUCGCAGGUAAUCCCACUCUGCAAAAGAUUAUUAUACCUCCUGCGCACUGGGUGCUUUCACCCACGCACAGAUUAAAAAGUGAAAGAAAAAGGCAUACACAAAGAAGGAUGAAGAAGAAGGACAAAACAAACGAACAAACUGGCAUUACUGUCAACCCUGAAGACAUUGAAGCUUUCGGAAGCAACUGCCUGAAUGCACUCGGGGAGCAGAUGGUGCUUACCACGGCGCAGAUCAGGGGCACCUGCAGGUGCACGAAGCUGUGUCAGUCAGGGACAGACAGCAUCCAUGGAGCCACCAAAUGGUGGAAGCUUUGACACCGCAGUUGGGAGGAGGCUUCAUCUGCCGCCGGGAGGUCGGCGUGGCCCCGCAUCACGACGAUCCGGUGCUACUAGCCUCGAUCCAACGCUUCGCUGCCUGUGAUGCAGGUAUUACGACAACAACCCACAGGUUAGUCUUGUCUCGAUGUACCUUUGUGCCGAUCAUCGGACCCCUGCUGCCAGUGCCCGCAAAACUCUCUAUCUCGUUGAAUGCGGCACCAGAUCAACGAAAUGAAUGUCUGGUAUUCACAUCAAACCUUCACUAUACACAACAUAUACAGACAGAUAGAUAGAUAGAUGGGGAGAUGGAUACAUGGCUUGUUUUUAUGUUUAAGAUUGUGGGUGUGGUUACAAGAUGUUCCGAAUUAGAGCGUAAAAUUGGGUUCUUGAAGAAAUGUGUGGAUUGAAAUGUUAAUACUAUGUGACAAAAUUGACGGCAUUGAAUUGUCUAGUUUGCAUUUAGAAGUGUAUAAGCUUGUAAACAAAAGUUAAAAAAUAUGAAAACCUAAUUUCAUUGUCACACUUGCUAAUCUCUUUUUCAUUUAUUUUAGUUUUUUGAAAAUUUAUGACAUGAGAGUCUUUUUGCAGUUGAGUACGGUUAUUGGAAUGUAUUGAUUUGCGUUAAUAGAAUUUUGCAGUGAUGUAUGAUGAAACUAAAUUUUUGAUAUUCUGCAAUUUAAAAUUGUAAAUAGUAAAUUAAAGUUUCAAAAUGCCCAAUGGUAACUUUGUGUUAAGUAUUCAAUAUUACUCAUAUUAACUUUUUUCAAUUCAUAACAUGUAAUUUGUAAUAGUGUUUAUUUAUUUUACAUUCAUGUUCAAUUAUUGUAUGUUUUAUGUUUGUAUUUGUAUAUAAUUUUAACAAACUGUGCAAUGCUCAGAAACUAAAUCUUUUUAAGAUCAAAUUACUUGUUUUUAUGCUAAAAGAAUUUUAUUUUUAUUUAUUUUUCAUUUCAGCUGUACAAGGACUUCAAUUAAUCAUCUAUAUAAAAUUUAACAAUAAAACUUCGAUUUUUUUUAUAUCUUUAAAAAAGCAUUGUUACUGAUUGGAUAUGUUUUGUCAUAAAAACUCAUGAUUUAGUUGCAAGAAUAAUUUUAGUAAUUUUUUAAAUGAUAUAGAUAUCCUAACGUAUAAUUUCUAAUUUUAUAAAGUAGAUGAUUAAAUUUAUUUACAAAUGUCUUAUAUUAUAUUUUUAUUUUAAAUCACAAAUAGCUACUUUCAAAACAAUGCUACUAAAGACCUCCAUAUGCAUGCAAGCCAAAAACGUAUCCAUUCUCAUGAAGAGCUUUUCUACCUAACAAGAUAACAAUAAAAUAAAAAUUAAAUUAAAUUAAAAUACGAAAUUUAGUUAAAUUACUGUAAAUUCUAAACUAUUUAUUUUAUUAUUUUACAUUAUUAUUUCUUUCAUAAUUAUAUUAAACUAUUGAAAUCAUAUUUGUUGAUAUAUAUAUAUAUAUAUAUAUAUAUUAAACAAAACUAUUAAUUUCUUUAAAAGAUUUUUAGUGUAUAGAUAAAUAGAAAUCAUCCUAAAUAUAUAUAUUUUGAUUUAUGUUAUGUAUAAUAUUUUUUUUGUUAAAAAUAUUAUGUGAAACGGGAAUAAAAAUAUGCACAUAUUUUUUAAGUUUUUACUUAUAUUUAUUAGUUUUCUUUUAAGUAAACUUCUCUUGUAUGUAUAAUAAUUGUUAUGAAUGUGAUUAGAUUUUUCUUUUGUAAUUAAUAAUGUGUUUGUAUAUAUAUAUAUAUAUAUAUAUAUACAUAUACAUAUCUAUAUAUGUAAGUUCACACUGAGUUCUACAUUAAAUGACAUUUCAUUUUUAUAGUUGCUAAUGGACGUUGUUUACUUGAUUUUAGAAACAAUUUUGCAAGGAGCACAGUAAAAAAAUGAAAACAUGUUGAUAUAUCUUAAUUUAAAUUUAAAAUUCAGGUAAAUUUAAAUUUAUUAUCAAUGUAGUACUUGUAAAAAUUAGUCUGUUUUUAAUGAUGUACGGUUAAAUUAGAUUACGAUGGUGGAGGAUUAUGAAAAUUUAAAGACAAACCAAGUCAAGCAAUAGAACUAAAAAUAGUAUCAGUUGCUUAAUAACAAUGAAUAUUUUCUAAUAAAACUAAUAUAAAACAAAUGUUUAAAGGUUGAGGCAUUAAAAUGUGGUAAUAUGCUAACAAACAAGUUGAUUCUGUAGCUCUCAAAAACAAAAGAUGUGCUUAAUUUACUUUCAAAUUCUCAAAGAUAUUGAAACAUAUUCAAAACAUAAAUAGUUAAACAAAUGAGAGUAUUCCUUUCAAUUUCCCCUUUAUUUCUCCCCUGGUAAAAUCCUCAACUUUUUUUCUCAUUUAGUGCACUUGUAAUCAACCAACUUUGACUCAUUUGAACUUCACACCAAUUUUCAGUCACCCUAACCAACUCCUGAAAAAAAAAAAAAAAAAAAAAACCUUAAAAAAACCUUUAAAAAGUAUAAAAUGUAAAUAAAUAAAUAAAAAUACCUACAUCUCCAUUUAUGCCUACCUGCCCCUAACAACAACUACCACUUCUUAGGCCAAGAAUGAAAGAAGAAGAGUGAAACUUGUACAACCCCAACAAUCAUAUAUAUAUAUAUAUAUAUAUAUAUACACACACAUUUAUUUAAUUUUUAUUUAAAUGAAUAAUUAAUUAGUGGGUACCUGAAUGUGACCCUGUAAAGUGGCCUGCAAAUGUGCUCUCAUCCUGCUUCUGCCAUGGCCUGACUCUCCCCACAAACUCCUCUUUGUCUACAUUCCCCACCU